rnacentral:misc_RNA from 1 species
CAACCCUCAAGCCCCCGGGCUUGGUGUUGGGGCUCGGCCCGUCCCUAGCGGCGCGCCGUCCCCGAAAUCUAGUGGCGGUCACGCUGUACUCCUCUGCGUAGUAAUCUAACCUCGCAACGGGACAAAGCGCGGCCACGCCGUUAAACCCCCAACUUCUGAAGGUUGACCUCGGAUCAGGUAGGAAUACCCGCUGAACUUAA